rnacentral:rRNA from 1 species
GUCCUUUUGAUUAUAAUAUAAGGUCUAACCUGCCCACUGAAAAUUUAAAGGGCCGCAGUAUUUUAACUGUGCAAAGGUAGCAUAAUAAUUAGUUUCUUAAUUAGAAGCUGGUAUGAAUGGUUGAACGAGAAAUUAGCUGUCUCAAUUUAUAAGUUAAAAUUUUAUUUUUAAGUUAAAAAGCUUAAAUUAAUUUAAAAGACGAGAAGACCCUAUAGAGUUUUAUAGUUAAUAAAAUUUUAAUUUUAGGAUUUUUAAUAUUUUAAUAAUUAUUUUAUUGGGGUGAUAUAUAAAUUAAAAUAACUUUAUAUUUUUAAUAACAUAAAUUAAUGAUUUUUUGAUCCAUUUUUAAUGAUUAUAAGAAAAAAUUACCUUAGGGAUAACAGCGUAAUUUUUUUUUAGAGUUCUAAUCGAAAGAAAAGAUUGCGACCUCGAUGUUGGAUUAAAGUUAAUUUUUGGUGUAGAAGCUAUAAAAUUAGGUCUGUUCGACCUUUAAAACUUUACAUGAUCUGAGUUUAGACCGGCGUGAGCCAGGUUGGUUUCUAUCUUUAAAUAUUUUAAAUAUUUUAGUACGAAAGGACCAAGUAUUUUUAAAAUUUAAUUUUUAAUUGAAUAU